GCAGUAUCUUGACUGUACAAAGGUAGCAUAAUCAUUAGUUUUUUAAUUGAAAGCUGGAAUGAAUGGCUGGAUAAGAAAAUUACUGUCUCUUUUUAAUUAAAUUGAACUUUAUUUUUAAGUUAAAAAGCUUAAAUUUUAUAAAAAGACGAGAAGACCCUAUAGAGUUUAAUAGGUUAAAAUUAUAUAUAAAUUAGGAUUUUACACUAUAUAUAAUUUUUCUUAUUUUGUUGGGGUGACAAUAGAAUUUAAUAAACUUCUUUCUUUAAAAUCAUUGAUUUAUGAAUUUAUGAUCCUAAGAUUUAGAUUAAAAGAAUAAAUUACCUUAGGGAUAACAGCGUAAUUUUUUUAGAGAGUUCUUAUCGAUAAAAAAGAUUGCGACCUCGAUGUUGGAUUAAAGUUAAUUGUUGGUGUAGAAGCUAAUAAAUUAAGACUGUUCGAC
rnacentral:rRNA from 1 species